CUCCAGCGUUAUUUUCCCCUGUAUGUGCUUCCUCUUUGGACAUGAUGGUGGGACACGUGGGGUGAAAUGGGCCAGUUUGAGGAACACAGCAGAACAGCACCACUGUGGUUUCUUCGAUGGCAGCCAUUGAUUUACACUCUCACUUCUACAGGGCUCGGCAGGGGAGUCGGGGUUUCCAGGGCUUCCGGGUGCCGCGGGACUGUCUGGGUUCAAAGGUCACAAGGGGGGGAGAGGAGAGACGGGCCCUGGAGGACGCCAGGUAUUACACCUCACACUCACGCUUCACUGUUCAACACACAAACUCACAACACUGGAGGAGUUAUGGCAUCAAACCAAUGGUGGUAAAGACGCCUUUCCAGGGGAGGAGAUCACGGGCAGCGAUUCCACAGAACAGGGUCAACAGGGGGAGCGAGGCACAGAUGGAGAUCCAGGGACUCCCGGUGUACCUGUGUGCAGUGAGUUACAAGGACCAAUGGAUGGCAAGAACAUCUCCACCCAUCACUUACAAGCAGC
ensembl:lncRNA